CGGCGCCUGCUGCGACCGCGCCUCGCCGUCGAUGGGCUCCCCGUGGCGCCGCCGCUAAACCCUAACCGGCCGCAGCAGUAGCAGGGUUCCGGUUCGCCGGCGGCUGGUCACGCCCUGGUCUGCUCCUCGCGCUGUCGCACCGGCUCCUCCCCUCCCCUCCCCGCCCCACCUCACCGUCGUCGUCGUCGACGACGAUGUCGUUCUCCUCGGCCUAACGAAGUCCCCAGAUUCCGCAGGCGCGGCGCAGGAUCCGCUAGACGAGGCGAAGAACGGGGCCCUCCUCCAGCCACGCCUCAAUGGCGCCGUCGCGAAAGACUGUUCCUGUCUGCUAUCAUUGGGAUGAUCCAGAUGAGAGGAUUAGGUGAAAUUCGUGCAUGCAAUCGUAAGCUGACUUUAUGAAAGGAUCCAACACAUCACCAAUUAUCUGGCUCAAUGCCAAAGGAUCCCUACCUCGUGACAUAAUUUUAUUGCUCCUUGAUGAGAAGGCAAUUUGGAAAUAUUCAAUAUGGUGGAAGGGCUAGCUAACAAAUUUUCUGUGGGAAAGAACAUAGCGCUUCGAUGCAAAUUUAUAUUAGGAGUGAAGCAUCCACUUUAUGUUCACAACAUUCCAUUGAGCACUAUGAGCAAAUGGAAUCUUGCUUUUCAUAUAAUAUUUUAUUUACAUUAUAGUCGCUUCGGUAUUGCAUAUGAUCUUUGUGACUGAUAUCUAUGGCCAGUUUUUGAUGCAUAUAUUCUCCAAAGAUCUGGAGGUAUGUUUAAAGCUCCAAGAGUUAGCCUCCCCUGCAUGGCGCCUUGCCUGGCCUUGGCCAAAGGUUUAUGAUGAGUCAUUUCACGUUCAUUGAUACUUCUCUGAGUGGUGAGCACUCAGCUGGAGAAAGAAUCUUUUGAUCAACAUCACAAUGCAAGAGUAUGAAACCUGGGGAGAUAUGCGUGUACUACUUUCCUUGUCCACUAAAUACAGCUGUAGAGGAUCAUUCAGACCAAGCAGGAACAGGAAAAGCAUCUCCUUGCUGGAGUUGCAGCAUCAUUGUCUUGAUAUCAUGAGGAUGAGGCCACAUUCCAUAUUCUUUGCAGCAUUUCAAAUACAGUUGCAUGCAGAAGUUUCACCUUUGAUGUUACGAACAGGCAUUGGACUUUUCGAAGGAACGGAGGACGGACACCACCAUUGUACUAUGGGUUUGCAUUCAAGAACACCACAUGUAGCUGCCUUGGCACUCCAUUCAAAAAUACAACAUGCAACUGCCUCGGCUCUCCACAUAAACAUCAAUGUCGGGAGAGCCAUGAAGAAUCCAUGCAGAUUUUAUAUUUUUCAGAUGGGAAUAACAAGGACCACUGGCUCUAUAUGUAGCCCCUUUUACUUUUGCAUAAGCUUCAGAAUAAGUUCUCCGUACUGUGGCAGCCUUCUCUUUUGUUUUUUCUGGUCAACUUAUAGUGGCUUAUUUGUAAUACAUGAAUGAACCCAGAAAAAAAGACCGAAUCCCACAGAAAAAAUUACAGAAAACAAUUUAAAACUCCAUAGUUCCUACCUAUUUCCUUGAUAACAGAGCACCAUUGGUUUUAGAAUAUGUAAUUCCAUAUAUGACAAAAUUGUGUUUUGACAUUUUAGACAACUGUUUGGCACGUGUACUAAUACAAAGCUGCCUGAAAACAUGCUAAUAUUGUAUUAUAUACAGUGAGGCCAGGAAUGUACUCGACAUCCAAAAAUCUUGUUGGAAUAAAGGUACAGCCUUCAGAUCAGAUUGGCAUCUCCACCAGAGCACUGCAUGACUGCAAGCAGAAAAGGCAGAGAUCCACUUUGAAUUGUUGAAAGGUCUCUUGCAUGUCAGUCACAAAAGAGGGGAAAAAGGCACUGAGGAAUUCCCCUGCACUGCAAACUACCUACACCCAGCUUCUGUGGAUGAGCUCAUGCCAUGACAGUAUGCCCACCGUCCCUGCUGCCUCCGGCCCCUCUAGAUUGUUCGUGGACCAGCUGGAAGCAAUGCUAAAGCUGGCCUGAUCCAGGUGAGAGCUGAAUCUAUUCUAAUGGAAGCCUAUCUUAUCAUUUUG